UACGGAGGGUGCGAGCGUUGUUCGGAAUCACUGGGCGUAAAGCGCGUGUAGGCGGCCCACUAAGUCUGAUGUGAAAGCCCGGGGCUCACCCCCGGAAGUGCAUUGGAAACUGGUGGACUCGAGUCCCGGAGAGGAGAGUGGAAUUCCUGGUGUAGCGGUGAAAUGCGUAGAUAUCAGGAGGAACACCGGUGGCGAAGGCGGCUCUCUGGACGGUGACUGACGCUGAGACGCGAAAGCGUGGGAAGCAAACAGG
rnacentral:rRNA from 1 species